CCUACACAGAUCUCAUUUACAGGGCUGAAGGGGAGAGAUGUUUUUCUACAGCUUCUUCAGCUGAGAUGUGAAAUCGCCUCAUGAGCUGGAGAUGCUGCAUGGAAACAGAACCUCUUUGCCACAGCCGUAUGCUAUCCAUGUUGGCUGCUGUGUUUGAAAGCUGCCAGCAGGCCUGCAUAGAAUCACUGUGGCUGCAUAAGCUUCAUUUCCAGAAGAUCAGAUGAAAAUAUUGUUGUCUAACAGCAAACAGAUUGAUUCAUGAAAAGCCACCUAUAAGUACGUAAGAAGAAAUGGGCAGAAACACCUCUACAAUGUGAACUAAUGUUUAAGGUGAUUUCCUCUGUUAAGGCGCAUUGCAAAAGCAUCCUUACAUUCUUUAAUAAUCAUGGGAACGAACUGCUGAACUUCUGAGACGUGUGGUAUGUUUUCUUAGAAUUUACAUCUCAUGUCAGAAAGAAAGGUACAGAUCUGUUCAAUAUUCAAGUUCCGUGCUAUAAAUUUAUGUUGUAAGAGCUCAGAGGACUUUUAAAAGCAGGUUAACGUAGAGUAAUUUUUCAUGCUUAAACUCUGAAACUCAUUCAAAAACCAUAAGCAGCAUGGCUGCGUUUUGGAAGGCUACCUUUUUCAUGUUAUCACUGUUCUCAUUCAUCCAUCAGUUUUGUCCAUUACUAGCUUCUUAUUAUACAAUCUCAUUGGAUCAUUGAGUAAUGUUUUC
rnacentral:lncRNA from 1 species